AGAGAGAGACAUGCGCGCAUAUCAAUAAGCGGAGGAAAAGAAACUAACAAGGAUUCCCUUAGUAACGGCGAGUGAAGCGGGAAGAGCUCAAAUUUGAAAUCUUCAAGGUUUUACCUUGACGAAUUGUAGUUUAAAGAAGUGUUUUCUGCUGAAGUUUUGGUAAAAGUUCUUUGGAAUAGGACAUCAUAGAGGGUGAGAAUCCCGUAUUUGACCAUUAUUUUCAGCUUUGUGAUACACUUUCAAAGAGUCGGAUUGUUUGGGAAUGCAGGUCCAAAAUGGGUGGUAAAUUUCAUCUAAAGCUAAUAUAUUGGCGAGAGACCGAUAGCGAACAAGUACCGUGAGGGAAAGAUGAAAAGAACUUUGAAAAGAGAGUUAAACAGUACGUGAAAUUGUCAAAAGGGAAGCGUUUGACACCAGUGUUGUUUUCUCUCGAAAAUCAAUUAAAAAUGGCUCGAUUUUGUAUUGCUUGAGACCUUAAAAGCUCACUGUACAUUUUUCGUGUCUUUUUUAAUGCACUUUUCGUUUAACAAGUCAACAUCAGUUUCUUUUGUUGUAAAAGGGUCAUUGGAAGGUGGCUUUCUUUUCGGAGAAAGUGUUUAUAGCCUUUGGCCUCUGCAAUCGAAGAGACUGAGGUCUGCAGCGUAGACUCUUCGGGGUUAGAUACAUUUGUGCUAAGUUAUAGCCUUUCAUAGACAACUUGUUGACUAUGAUCAGUCAUCGUAGCUUACUCGCUUAUGCUAUUUUACCUACGCUUAGGAUGUUGAAGAUGUAGCACAUCAU
rnacentral:rRNA from 1 species